rnacentral:ncRNA from 2 species
AAUUUUGAAAGAGGCUGCGUUAAUCAUAAGUAGGAAGCGAAAGGGAUUAACGCCGAAGUAUUAGAAAUAAUGCUGGGGUACGUUUAAAUAAGACGUUCACUGCUAGGUAAGCAAGCCCAUUGCUUAUACUGGAGUACUUUCAUAAUU